UGUAGUUCAUCCAUGCCCACGGGUCACAUUUUAUUUUACUUUAGUUUUCUUAAGCACUUCGGCGGUCGGUUGGGCCGCCGAGUGGGGGGUUUUGCGGCGAGGAAAGGAGAAUUGCAUGCCGCCAAAUGCCAAUCCCACCACCGCCGCAUGGGUUUGAAGGAGAAUUGAGCUGGUACUCGUUUUUUGAAAUUUCGAAUUUCGAAGGGAAGUUGCAAUUUUGCAAUUGAAAUGAACAUACUUGUGCUUGGAUCAUACUUAUGCUGUGGGACUGCACUUCAUUUAGUUUUCUUAUGCUACCGAUUCUGAGCACAAGUGGUAUCUGAUUACUCAGAAACAUAAAGUUUUCCCCAUGAUUUUGAAGCUUUUUCAAGCCCAUGUACUAAGAACUUGGUAGUUUUUAGCACUGAACAAGAUUUUAUCUCACUCACAUGUGCGUACAUCCUGUGCUGACGACUGAAAAUCUUGUUUAGAUUGUGUCCCAUAGAGUUAUGUCUGUUUAUAAAUACCUCGGCGCACAUUCACGCGAGGACAAAAGCAGCUUACGGGAGCCAACCGACAGGUGGGCAGUUACCGCUUUGACGAUGACUGCACCAAUAGCAGCAUGCGAAUCUAUUAAUCCUUCCAAUCUUGACUUUGGUGCAUUCGGUUCCCUGUUCCACGGAAUGAAGUGAUGGCUGAAGAAGCGAAAAAUUACAACAUGUCAAUUGUCAGGUAGCUGCUCGAGACAAAUAUGACGCUAGUGAGACACUUGGCAUACUAUAUCUUCAUGUGCACGCACAUAUUCCGUUAGAUUCCAUUCUUACAACAAUGUUCCUGUUAAAAAUAGUAUUUAUCAUGUUUGGAAUGAUCAGCAGGGCCGUCAUCGAUGCUGCAUGCCAAGAACUCUCCUCCGACAACAGUACGGUUCGCUUCUUGAUCUUAUUUUAUUGAACGCCUUAAACAUUUGAAGUUAGAUUAAAAACAUACCUAAGAAAAGCUCCCCUGUAUGUAGCCAGGAAUCUGUGUUUGGUUAUCUGUCAUCUUAUCUAUUCAGACAAAUGAAUGACAUGAUGUAAUUACAAGUUGAUCCAACAACAUAUAGCUGUAUUUAUCUAAUUAUUGCACCUGAGCUGCUUAGAUUGACUUAGCAACUCCCUUAAUGACAACUUUGUCUCUAA